rnacentral:rRNA from 1 species
GAAUAUUGGUCAAUGGACGAGAGUCUGAACCAGCCAAGUAGCGUGAAGGAUGACUGCCCUAUGGGUUGUAAACUUCUUUUAUAUGGGAAUAAAAUGAGUUACGUGUAGCUUUUUGUAUGUACCAUAUGAAUAAGGAUCGGCUAACUCCGUGCCAGCAGCCGCGGUAAUACGGAGGAUGCGAGCGUUAUCCGGAUUUAUUGGGUUUAAAGGGUGCGUAGGCGGGCUGUUAAGUCAGCGGUCAAAUGUCGGGGCUCAACCCCGGCCUGCCGUUGAAACUGGCGGCCUCGAGUGGGCGAGAAGUAUGCGGAAUGCGUGGUGUAGCGGUGAAAUGCAUAGAUAUCACGCAGAACCCCGAUUGCGAAGGCAGCGUACCGGCGCCCUACUGACGCUGAAGCACGAAAGCGUGGGUAUCGAACAG